ACGGGAGGCAGCAGUGGGGAAUAUUGCACAAUGGGCGAAAGCCUGAUGCAGCGACGCCGCGUGAGCGAAGAAGUAUUUCGGUAUGUAAAGCUCUAUCAGCAGGGAAGAAGAAUGACGGUACCUGACUAAGAAGCACCGGCUAAAUACGUGCCAGCAGCCGCGGUAAUACGUAUGGUGCAAGCGUUAUCCGGAUUUACUGGGUGUAAAGGGAGCGCAGGCGGUACGGCAAGUCUGAUGUGAAAGCCCGGGGCUCAACCCCGGUACUGCAUUGGAAACUACCGGACUAGAGUGUCGGAGGGGCAAGCGGAAUUCCUAGUGUAGCGGUGAAAUGCGUAGAUAUUAGGAGGAACACCGGUGGCGAAGGCGGCUUGCUGGACGAUAACUGACGCUGAGGCUCGAAAGCGUGGGGAGCAAACAGGAUUAGAUACCCUGGUA
rnacentral:rRNA from 1 species